GAUGACCAAUCGCAGAUGACCCGACUUUACACCCGCGGCUGAUAUUAGCGCCACCUCGAUUUACGACUUUGUUGUUAUCUCCUGUGUUUUGGACUAUAUAAGCCUGAUGUUUUUUGCUGUUCCUUUGAGCAACAUACCCCGUGUGUGUGAGUUAACCCAUAUCCUUUGUAUGUGAUUUAACUCUGCUCCUUCUUGCAAGAAUAAAUUAGUUACCUGAUCAUUGAUUCUCAACCUGGUGUCGAGUGAUAUUUUUCUAACAUAUUGGUCCUUCGAGCCGGAAUCCAAGAUCUCCUUUUUUCUCCGGGCAAACGAGCCUGACACUGUGCACAGGGAGUCGAGAGACUCUUAGAAAAAGACCCCUACCUUGUUUCCCUUACAAAGAAACAAUUUGGUAAAUAGGGGGGCCAGGUUACACUGGAGAGGAGAGGAGUGACGGAUCCUUGAACUACCGACACAGGAGAGAAAGUCAAUACAGGCACCGUUUUGGUUUCAACCCCUUGGUUCGCGGAAGGAUACCAAAUGAGUCCUAGAAAGACAGGAAGUACCUGACACUACACAGACAGUGAAACCAGGAGAGUAAGUGUUCACCAGAGUGAUAAAGAGGAAGAGCUGGCACUCGCCCAAGUGGGAGGGUCCCUACCAAGCACUCCUGUCUACACCGACUGCAGUUAGAGUGGCGGAGAGACCAUCCUGGAUACAUCUGACUGUGAAGCUGUUUAAACCUAAAGACAGAAACUCGCCUCUACUGUGGUGAAGUCUGGCUACAAAGGGAGGUGAUUCCAAUAAGGGCAUUUGUCUCAAACCAGUGAAGAAACCAACAGAACCCAGUAGAACUUAAAGAGUGGACAUUAGCAGGGAAACAGUAACGGGUCUGAGUGAUAGAAACUGACGAUGUACAGAGAAAGAAUUAGGCCAUGGCAUCCAUUCGGAUUACAUUAAAACAUGUGCCAAUACAA